rnacentral:rRNA from 1 species
GACGAACGCUGGCGGCGUGCCUAAUACAUGCAAGUAGGACGCAGUUGCGAACGGGUGAGUAACGCGUAGGUAACUACCUAUUAGAGGGGGAUAACUAUUGGAAACGCUAGCUAAUACCGCAUACUAGUAGAUGGACCUGAGUUGUAUUAGCUAGUAGGUAGGGUAAUGGCCUACCUAGGCAACGAUACAUAGCCGACCUGAGAAGGUGAGCGGCCACACUGGGACUGGGACACGGCCCAAGCUCCUACGGGAUGCAGCAGUUGGUGAUCUUCGGCAAUGGGGGGAACCCUGACCGAGCAACGCCGCGUGGGUGAAGAAGGUUUUCGGAUCGUAAAGCUCUGUUGUUAAGGGAGCGGUACUUAACCAGAAAGGGACGGCUAACUACGUGCCAGCAGCCGCGGUAAUUC